UACGGAAGGCAGCAGUGGGGAAUAUUGCACAAUGGGCGCAAGCCUGAUGCAGCCAUGCCGCGUGUAUGAAGAAGGCCUUCGGGUUGUAAAGUACUUUCAGUCGUGAGGAAGGUGUUAAGGUUAAUAACCUUAGCAAUUGACGUUAGCGACAGAAGAAGCACCGGCUAACUCCGUGCCAGUAGCCGCGGUAAUACGGAGGGUGCGAGCGUUAAUCGGAAUUACUGGGCUAAAGGGCACGCAGGCGGUUAAUUAAGUUGGAUGUGAAAUCCCCGGGCUUAACCUGGGAAUGGCAUUCAAGACUGGUUAGCUAGAGUCUUGUAGAGGGGGUAGAAUUCCAUGUGUAGCGGUGAAAUGCGUAGAGAUGUGGAGGAAUACCGGUGGCGAAGGCGGCCCCUGGACAAAGACUGACGCUCAUGUGCGAAAGCGUGGGGAGCAAACAGGGAUUAGAUACCCGU
rnacentral:rRNA from 1 species